rnacentral:snoRNA from 1 species
UGAUCGUGAUGAAACUUUAACCAGUUCUGCUACUGACACAACAGUGCUGAAGUCAUACCAUUUCUGAUAA